UAGCCCUUUGAAAAUAAAUAAAGGGUCCCGCCUGCCCAGUGGCUUAAAGCUAAACGGCCGCGGUAUCUUGACCGUGCAAAGGUAGCAUAAUCAUUUGUCUUUUAAAUGGAGACUCGUAUGAACGGCAAAACCUUUUCUAACUGUCUCUCCUUCUGCCCUUCUAAAUUUCUAUCUAUGUGAAGAAGCAUAGAUACCAGAGAAAGACGAGAAGACCCUGUCGAGCUUCAGCCAGUAAGUGAAUGAGAAUAAUUAUUUCAACCAUAUCACCUAAAGGCUUUGGUUGGGGCAACCAUGGAGAAAAAAAAUCCUCCAGAACCAAUAAAAGAAAACUACUCUUUAUUUAUAUACUCAGUUAAAGAACCAGAAACUGGAAAACGGAAAAAGUUACCGCAGGGAUAACAGCGUAAUCCCCUCUAAGAGUCCUUAUUGACGAGGGGGCUUGCGACCUCGAUGUUGGAUUGGGGCCUCCUUUGGGUGCAGAAGCUCUAAACGGUUAGACUGUUCGUCUAUUAAAGCCCU
rnacentral:rRNA from 1 species